rnacentral:rRNA from 1 species
GAGUUUGAUCGUGGCUCAGAACGAACGCUGGCGGCAGGCUUAACACAUGCAAGUCGAGCGCUGUAGCAAUACAGAGCGGCGCACGGGUGAGUAACACGUGGGAACAUGCCUUUCGGUUCGGAAUAACUCAGGGAAACUUGUGCUAAUACCGGAUACGCCCUUCGGGGAAAGAUUAUUGCCGAAAGAGUGGCCCGCGUCCGAUUAGCUAGUUGGCGGGGUAAAAGCCCACCAAGGCGACGAUCGGUAGCUGGUCUGAGAGGACGACCAGCCACACUGGGACUGAGACACGGCCCAGACUCCUACGGGAGGCAGCAGUGGGGAAUCUUGGACAAUGGGGGAAACCCUGAUCCAGCCAUGCCGCGUGAGUGAUGAAGGCCCUAGGGUUGUAAAACUCUUUCGGCGGGGACGAUAAUGACGGUACCCGCAGAAGAAGCUCCGGCUAACUUCGUGCCAGCCGCCGCGGUAAU